rnacentral:rRNA from 1 species
UUCAGCAAUGGAUGUCUUGGCUCCCACAACGAUGAAGAACGCAGCGAAAUGCGAUACGUAAUGCGAAUUGCAGAGUCCAGCGAGUCAUCAAAUGUUCGAACGCACCUGGCGCUUCCGGGAUAUUCCUGGGAGCAUGCUCGUUAGAGUGUCUGUUGAAA